rnacentral:rRNA from 1 species
UACGUAGGGUGCGAGCGUUAAUCGGAAUUACUGGGCGUAAAGCGCGCGUAGGCGGGUUGGUAAGUCCGCUGUGAAAGCCCGGAGCUUAACCCCGGGAGGCGGGUGGAUACUGCUGAGCUUGAGUCCGGAAGAGGCGAGUGGAAUUCCCGGUGUAGCGGUGAAAUGCGCAGAUAUCGGGAGGAACACCAAUGGCGAAGGCAGCUCGCUGGGACGUGGACUGACGCUGAGACGCGAAAGCGUGGGGAGCAAACAGG